rnacentral:rRNA from 1 species
AAAACAUGUCUUUUUGAUAAAAAUUUAAAGUCAGGUCUGCUCACUGAAUUAAUUUAAAGAGCCGCAGUAUAUUGACUGUGCAAAGGUAGCAUAAUCAUUAGUUUUUUAAUUGGAAACUAGAAUGAAAGAUUAGACGAAAAAUUAAUUUUCUUUGUUUUAAUAAAUUUAAUUUUGAAUUUAAGUGAAAAUACUUAAAUAUAAUUAAAAGACGAGAAGACCCUAUAGAUUUUUAUUAUUGAAAUAAAUUUUUAAAUUUAAUUUAGUAAAAUAAUUUAAUUGGGGCGAUUUUAUAAUAUAAAUAACUUAAUUUUUUAAAACCAUAAAUAAUUGAAUAUUUGAUCUAAAAUUUUUAAAGAAAAGAUUAAAUUACCUUAGGGAUAACAGCGUAAUUUUAUUUAAGAGUUCAUAUCUAUAAUAAAGUUUGCGACCUCGAUGUUGAAUUAAGAUAAUAUAUUGGAGUAGAAAUUAAUAUAAUUAGUCUGUUCGACUAUUAAAUUCUUACGUGAUCUG